GGCCGCCUGGCGAAAUGGUAUCGCGUCUGACUACGGCUGCAAGCGGUCGAUCAGGAGAUUGUAGGUUCGAAUCCUGCGGCGGUCA
rfam:Pisolithus microcarpus 441 unplaced genomic scaffold scaffold_98, whole genome shotgun sequence.